rnacentral:rRNA from 1 species
GGACUGAAGAGUUUGAUCAUGGCUCAGAUUGAACGCUGGCGGCAGGCCUAACACAUGCAAGUCGAGCGGUAGAGAGAAGCUUGCUUCUCUUGAGAGCGGCGGACGGGUGAGUAAUGCCUAGGAAUCUGCCUGGUAGUGGGGGAUAACGUUCGGAAACGGACGCUAAUACCGCAUACGUCCUACGGGAGAAAGCAGGGGACCUUCGGGCCUUGCGCUAUCAGAUGAGCCUAGGUCGGAUUAGCUAGUUGGUGAGGUAAUGGCUCACCAAGGCG